UUUAAGAAUUUUUUUGAUAUUUUUACUGAAAACAAGACAAAAAUACAAAGUAAGUCAUUUUUUGCAGUGUGACUUCAUUGAAUGUUCUUGUGGGAUAAAGAAAGUCUCUCUUUUUGUGUGUGUGAUGUAGUUUAAACAUGACUGGGCCAAAACAGACAUGGCAGCAGGUCAAAAUACAAGAACAUUCUGCAGAAUGCAGUGAAAAAGAAUACCCAGAGACAAGGCACGGGUGGUGGGUCACCAAAAGCUGACCUCACCCCAGCAGAGGCCAGCUUUGGAGCUAAAUAAAGGCAGGCCUGUUGGAGGGGAUCCCUGGGGGAAAAGAGACAAGCAUAGGUCCCUCCCAAGAUGCCACCCGCUUCAUACAAGUGUCUGGCAGCACUGUGUUAAAGCCACCAGAACGAGCACAAGACGAUGCUGAUCCAGCGAGUACUCCAUCAAAGGCAUACUGUAGGCCUGGCAUGUCUUGUCUACUAGCUUCAAUAUGAAUCCGAUUAAAUGUGAUAGGGUCAAGGCCCCAUUUCAUCAGCACAUUUCAUCGGCGAUGAUGAUGAGGAGACCAUCUCUCUGGAUUCCAGAAGGCAUAAGGACCCAGUGUCAUUGGUGGACUGGACUGCACACACAUAAGGAUAAAAGCCCCCUCAGGUGCCCAUGAGGCAGAUUUUGUAAAUAUGAAAUCUUUUCACAGCAUUAAUGUUCAGGUGAACAUAACUUUUUGAUAUUUUCCAUUGAACACUGGCAAAAUGGCCUGGCUCAGUCCAUGACUCCAGAAUCCU